CUGAAGGCCUGGGUCAUGUGGGCGGGCUAAGAUGGUGGCCCCCGCGGAGGGCGCGUGAGGUGGGAGGGGCCAUGUUGUAGGCUCGGCGGGAGCGGCGGGGCCUUUGGGGCCUGCUCGGACUUCAAGAUGGCAGGAAGGGAGCUUCUUGAGCUAAAUUCUCCGCAGCAAAGUCUGCGUUUGGAAAAAUUUAAGCGGAUGGAAAUCAUGCUGAAGCUGUUUGAUGGGCUUCCCAAAGAAGAUCAGAACCUUUUUAAUCAUGGAGCAUACUUCCUUGCAGGAAAUUCAAGCUUAUGUGGCUUAGCAGCAAAUAACUUCUUCAGACGCACCCUAAAUAUCACAAAGGCUCCCUUUAUAUCUGCUUUGCCAAUGGCCGUUAUACCAUUUCUAUCAACAGCAGCAGUUUAUGAAGCUUUUUUGCGUCGGCCUUUAUUUUUAGGUGACCUAAACUGUGAGGUCUGUGCUGUGGUCAGAGGAGGAUUAAUAGGGGCUGUUGUGGGUGGUCUCUAUCCUUUUCUUUUGGCCCUUCCUGUGAAUGCAAGCCUUGCAGCCAGGUAUUCUUCAGCUCCCUUGCCAGGGAAAGAGAAUCUAUUACGCUUCUGGCACAGAGCUUCUCAACCUGUCUUUAAAAAGAUGAGUUUUGGUAUACUUAUACAGGUUCUAACUGGAAUUUACCUUGCCACUAAACAUCAUGGAAUAUAUCUCAAAAUGCUGCAGCAGAUAAAACCUAGCAGGGAUCGUGAAGAGUUGGAAGCCUGAAGUUGACCAAAAAUUUCCCAGUUGCCUUGGAGAGAUCUUAAGUUCUUGAAAAGGGUGAAAGGUUGAGAAGUUUGCAUGUAACAGGAAGAAAUUCACAUUCCUCAGCAUCUCUGAGAGAAUGCAUGUGUGGACUUUGACUACUAGAAGUCUGAACUACUUCUGAAAGGAUGCCGAGAGACUGGCUAUAGGCAAGAAUCAAAAUAUACUUUAAAAAGCACCAGUUCUAUCUUCUAUUACAUGUUCCAUUCUGGUCAUGAAUCUCAACAUUACAGAGCACAUACCUCUGCACAUCAUAAUAAAGAAUAACGCAUUCUUACAAGUCCCCUGCACAACUCCCUCCUGUUUUUUCUCCCCCUCAAGUCCCACUCCUGGCAUGUUCCUGCCAAGUAGAGGCAAAAUUACCUAACCAAAUCUUCAUCUCAUAUUUCAUUUAAACAGGGUGAAAAAUAUCUAAAAGCACCUUUCAUCUAUCUGCAUGCAGUUGUACAAAAGGUUUUCUUUGAACACAGAGGCCACUUGAAUAUCCAUCAUACCUAAUAUAUACUUGAGACAUUUACAGUCUAACAGCAAAUAUAACACUAUAAAGAGUAUUGUUGAUUCUAGCAGAGAAAUCUUUUAACUACAAACUUUUGAGAAUACUAAGUUCUUAAAAAAAAGUAAAUGUUACAAAAGGCCUUUUGUAUUUUACAAAAGCUCUCAGUGUUUCACAGGGAAAACUUUUUUUUGUCAAUUAACAUCAGAAAUCUGAUAACUCAGAAGUGCCAACAGAUGCCAAAUUUUGUGAAAUCGUUUACAUUUCUUUUGAUACAUUUGAUAUCAUCUUUCCAGACAGUUAGAAAUUGCAGAAACACUGAUUUUUUCCCCUCAGAUGCUGCUACUGUUUCAAGAAGAGAGAAAGAAGUUCAUUUACAAUACUACUAAGAUUCACAGUACCAGAAUCAAAUUUUAAACAACUAAUGGAGUACUGAGAAUGAAACCUUUUUUAUUUAACUACUAAAUAGUCUUCAAGGCAGGGUGGAGAAAUACUGGAAAAUAAAAGUAGUGUAGCCAUGCAAUUUAACACUGAGAAUUUUUGGUUCUGUGAUAUGUUCAAUUUAACAAACUAAUUCUGAUGCUUAGCAGGGUGUUCUCUACAACUGGAAGCCAAAAAGGAGAACGUGGCCAUAUUCCUUUGAACUGGUCACAGGCAUUUGUUAUAUUUUUAAGCAUUCUUCUUCCUGAUGUUUUUUAAGCUACAGACUGCUUUUACUAGAAUAUUUGAAUGUUAGAAAGACAACCACCAACUAUUUUAAACUCAACUUUCUGUGAAAGUCUCAAAAAAAGUUUCUUUUUUUGCAGAGAGCAAAGACAAUAUCAUAUUGCUCGCUCUAGAGCUUUAAAAAUGCUAUGUCCUUUCAGAACCCUCAAACCUUUUGUUACAGUCAUCCCUACUGUUUAAUGUGGAAAUAAACUGUAAUCUUUAAUCAGAUUGUUAACAGCAUACUGUUAGGUAGGCAUUAAAAUUAGGAACCUACGAAUGGAACAGAAAGGAGGAAGAUGCCAAUAAAAGAUGGAAGUAUUUACACAGAAAUUCUACUCUUCCAUGGUUUAUUGAUCAAAUACAUCUACAUUAAUAAAACAUUGAAAAACCACUGUAAAAUACAAAGAAUGGUGAUACUCAGAGAAGUAUAACUCCAUCUUAAGUUCAAGGAAUACUAGGAAAAUUUUUUUUUUUUUUUGGUCCUCACCACAAAAGUUAACUUGAAAGACAGAUGAGUAAGAACAUGAUUUCUCUUGGGUACCCUGCUCCAUUCUAUCUUGCUUUCCAAUGUAUGACCCACACAGACAGCAGUAAGAGCAUUUCUCCCCUUCUGAUUCCCAUUUUGUGCAAUGAAGGAAGGCAUUAAUGAGAAGAAAAAGAUGAAAAAGUAUUUGAGCCCAUAAACUGAAAGAUCAACAAGUCUGAUUUUAUUACGAUAUUGUAUUCUUAUCUGGAUGGCACAUAAUUACAAAGAAACAAUUACAAUAUUUUUUCAAGUAUUAAGUUUUGUCAUUUCAAGGCUUCCACUUCAAAAAGCUACAUUAAUAAUACACUAUACAAAUAGUACAGUUGGUUAGCAUUUCAAAUAACUUCCUCCCCUCUAUUUGGUUUAAAUAUGAUUCAGUAGGCACUAGAAAUGCCUGCAGCCGCUUACUUUCUUGGGACUUGACCUUCUUGUACCAGUAUAUCUAAUUUUCCAUGUCAUAAAAUCAGCUACUGUCAGACACAGCUCAUAGAUAGUUUUAUGACUAGAGUGAUGUGCAGGUUCCUAACAGAGACCAGAACCGAGUGUCUGACUCCUAUCACUUAGCAGUGAUGCAAAAAGAAAGAAUGCAUAUUUAAGUUAACUUAAAAUACACAUCUACUCUGAAGUAACGGUAAAAAUGCCAUUGUAACAUCCCGUACCUGUUACAUUACUGUUUGUCUUUCAAUUAGGCAUGUUAAACUUUAUAAAUAAAGUAUGUUUACUAAGUCUGAGCUAGGCAGAUUCAACAAAGCUCAGUCCAGCUCAAUUAUUUCCAUUUUUGCAUAUCAGUUAGUACAUGUCUUGAUGGUUAACUCAGAUUCAUGUGGCACUUGUACAACCCAUCAAUUACAGCAGGGUUACACAAUUUAAGACUGAAAGUUUAAACAGUCUUGUUGAUGCCACAGAGCUGUAACAUAACAUACAUCCCACCAACUCUUCUGCGCUGGCACUGUACUCUGUGAACAGAUGGAAUUCUGAAUACACUGGAGGAAAACCUGUUUGAUAGGAUACUGUCUUUCAAAAAAACAUCUUGGACGACAUUAAAUGAUCCCAGCAUUCAACUUUUUUUUUUUUAUUUAAAUAAAGACAGCAAAAGCCCUGUUA